rnacentral:rRNA from 1 species
ACUGCAAGUCGAGCGAAUCGAUGGGAGCUUGCUCCCUGAGAUUAGCGGCGGACGGGUGAGUAACACGUGGGCAACCUGCCUAUAAGACUGGGAUAACUUCGGGAAACCGGAGCUAAUACCGGAUACGUUCUUUUCUCGCAUGAGAGAAGAUGGAAAGACGGUUUACGCUGUCACUUAUAGAUGGGCCCGCGGCGCAUUAGCUAGUUGGUGAGGUAAUGGCUCACCAAGGCGACGAUGCGUAGCCGACCUGAGAGGGUGAUCGGCCACACUGGGACUGAGACACGGCCCAGACUCCUACGGGAGGCAGCAGUAGGGAAUCUUCCGCAAUGGACGAAAGUCUGACGGAGCAACGCCGCGUGAACGAAGAAGGCCUUCGGGUCGUAAAGUUCUGUUGUUAGGGAAGAACAAGUACCAGAGUAACUGCUGGUACCUUGACGGUACCUAACCAGAAAGCCACGGCUAACUACGUGCCAGCAGCCGCGGUAAUACGUAGGUGGCAAGCGUUGUCCGGAAUUAUUGGGCGUAAAGCGCGCGCAGGUGGUUCCUUAAGUCUGAUGUGAAAGCCCACGGCUCAACCGUGGAGGGUCAUUGGAAACUGGGGAACUUGAGUGCACAAGA